rnacentral:tRNA from 1 species
GCGCGAGUGGUGGAAUAGGCAGACACGCAGGAUUUAGGUUCCUGUGCCGGGGAGGCGUGCGGGUUCAAGUCCCGCCUCGCGCA